GACGAACGCUGGCGGCGUGCUUAACACAUGCAAGUCGAACGGUAAGGCCCUUCGGGGUACACGAGUGGCGAACGGGUGAGUAACACGUGGGUGAUCUGCCCUGCACUUCGGGAUAAGCCUGGGAAACUGGGUCUAAUACCGGAUAGGACCACUGCCUGCAUGGGUGGUGGGGGAAAGCUUUUGCGGUGUGGGGUGGGCCCGCGGCCUAUCAGCUUGUUGGUGGGGUGAUGGCCUACCAAGGCGACGACGGGUAGCCGGCCUGGGAGGGUGACCGGCCGCACUGGGCCUGAGAUACGGCCCAGACUCCUACGGGAGGCAGCAGUGGGGAAUAUUGCACAAUGGGCGCAAGCCUGAUGCAGCGACGCCGCGUGAGGGAUGACGGCCUUCGGGUUGUAAACCUCUUUCAGCACCGACGAAGCGCAAGUGACGGUAGGUGCAGAAGAAGGACCGGCCAACUACGUGCCAGCCGCCGCCGUAA
rnacentral:rRNA from 1 species